rnacentral:rRNA from 1 species
CCUACGGGAGGCAGCAGUGGGGAAUAUUGGACAAUGGGGGGAACCCUGAUCCAGCGACGCCGCGUGAGUGAAGAAGUAUUUCGGUAUGUAAAGCUCUAUCAGCAGGGAAGAAAGAAAUGACGGUACCUGACUAAGAAGCCCCUGCUAACUACGUUCCAGCAGCCGCGGUACUACGUAGGGGGCAAGCGUUAUCCGGAUUUACUGGGUGUAAAGGGAGCGUAGACGGCGAUGCAAGUCUGAAGUGAAAGGCGGGGGCCCAACCCCCGGACUGCUUUGGAAACUGUAUGGCUGGAGUGCAGGAGAGGUAAGUGGAAUUCCUAGUGUAGCGGUGAAAUGCGUAGAUAUUAGGAGGAACACCAGUGGCGAAGGCGGCUUACUGGACUGUAACUGACGUUGAGGCUCGAAAGCGUGGGGAGCAAACAGGAUUAGAUACCCUAGUAGUC